CUCACCUCAACAACUAUGAGCUUGUGGACCAGGACUCAGAAAUCCACACUGAAGAGCACACAGCCUCCUGCCAGGGACAGCAUGGACAUCACUGAAUCCCCUGAAUACAAGUAUGAAAUUAGUGAUUUCAAGACACAUGGAUAAAGUCUUCAUCUCUCUCUGUUCCACUGUGGUUAUUUUUCCCUUGUUGAUAGUUCCAUAACGAGAUACCUGUUUGUCUUCUAACAAGAGACAGAAAGGGUGUGGAUCCAGCACUUGAACCAGGGAAGCUGGCAGCCAUACUGCAGAUCUUCACCUCUUCCUGAUCUCCUUGAAAUGCAGUCCUCCUGUCUCAUCCCUUGCUCUGCAGUUGACCACCUGCUGCGGCUUCCAGUCCCCUCUACUCCUACCUCUAGUGGAUCACACAGAUCUUCCCCCAAAUCCAAACUUCCUUGCCCGCCCCCCACUCAUAGUUUUAUCCCAACAAGAACUCCAGAGAACACUCCCUGGGAUCCCACCAGACAAGCCUGCCAGACAAGCAAGUAGGCCAGUGAGGCUAGCAGCAAGCUUCAGAUUUUUAAUCUCCUUCCUCUGCUCAUACCCAGUCCCCCAGGUUUGUAUCCAGCUCUGUAGCAGACAGAGGCCUCUCCUCACUCUCUCUGCCCCCAUUGCCAGGGGGCUAAACAGAUCCUGAUGGAACACCCUGCUUUUCUAUUUUCUGUGGACCUCCUCAACACCACCCCUCCUAGCCCAUCCUCAUUUUAAUUAAUUAA